rnacentral:rRNA from 1 species
UGGGGAAUAUUGCACAAUGGGCGCAAGCCUGAUGCAGCCAUGCCGCGUGUGUGAAGAAGGCCUUCGGGUUGUAAAGCACUUUCAGCGGGGAGGAAGGCGAUAAGGUUAAUAACCUUGUCGAUUGACGUUACCCGCAGAAGAAGCACCGGCUAACUCCGUGCCAGCAGCCGCGGUAAUACGGAGGGUGCAAGCGUUAAUCGGAAUUACUGGGCGAAAAGCGCACGCAGGCGGUCUGUCAAGUCGGAUGUGAAAUCCCCGGGCUUAACCUGGGAACUGCAUUCGAAACUGGCAGGCUAGAGUCUUGUAGAGGGGGGUAGAAUUCCAGGUGUAGCGGUGAAAUGCGUAGAGAUCUGGAGGAAUACCGGUGGCGAAGGCGGCCCCCUGGACAAAGACUGACGCUCAGGUGCGAAAGCGUGGGGAGCAAACAGG